rnacentral:rRNA from 1 species
UACGUAGGGUGCAAGCGUUGUCCGGAAUUAUUGGGCAUGAAGAGCUCGUAGGCGGUUUGUCGCGUCUGCUGUGAAAACUCGGGGCUUAACCCCGGGCCUGCAGUGGGUACGGGCAGACUAGAGUGCGGUAGGGGAGACUGGAAUUCCUGGUGUAGCGGUGAAAUGCGCAGAUAUCAGGAGGAACACCGGUGGCGAAGGCGGGUCUCUGGGCCGUAACUGACGCUGAGGAGCGAAAGCGUGGGGAGCAAACAGG